AUUACAUGGAUAACUGUAGUAAUUCUAGAGCUAAUACAUGCAACUAUGCCCUGACCCGCAAGGGAACGGGUGCAUUUAUUAGAACAGAACCAACCGGUUGUGGCUUCGGCUGCUUCCGUUCUAUUCUGUGAUGACUCUGGAUAACUUUACUGAUCGCAGUCGGCCUUGUGUCGGCGACGGAUCUUUCAAAUGUCUGCCCUAUCAAUUUACGAUGGUAGGUGACCUGCCUACCAUGGUGAUAACGGGUAACGGGGAAUCAGGGUUCGAUUCCGGAGAGGGAGCCUGAGAAACGGCUACCACUUCCAAGGAAGGCAGCAGGCGCGCAAAUUACCCAAUCCCGGCACGGGGAGGUAGUGACGAAAAAUACGGAUACGGGACUCAACAGAGGCUCCGUAAUUCGAAUGAGUACAAUUUAAAUCCUUUAACGAGGAUCAACUGGAGGGCAAGUCUGGUGCCAGCAGCCGCGGUAACUCCAGCUCCAGAAGCGUAUAUUAAAGUUGUUGCAGUUAAAAAGCUCGUAGUUGGAUCUGGGUUGCAUGGUUACGUGCCGUCACUUGUAUUCCCGGUUCGGCCUCGGUUGGGCUGGGUUUGUGAGUCGGUGUUGUGGCUGUGUAGCCUUUCUGCCGUGUCUGUUUCGACAGGUGCUGAUGGUUCAUCCGUUGGCAUGCUUCCAGAUGCCUUUAACCGGGUGUCGUGGGCGGACGGCAA
rnacentral:rRNA from 1 species